rnacentral:rRNA from 1 species
UACGUAGGGUGCGAGCGUUAAUCGGAAUUACUGGGCGUAAAGCGUGCGCAGGCGGUCUUCUACGUCUGGGGUGAAAACCCGGGGCUCAACCCCGGGACUGCCUUGGAUACGGGAAGACUUGAGGAUCGGAGAGGCAAGGGGAAUUCCACGUGUAGCGGUGAAAUGCGUAGAGAUGUGGAGGAACACCUGUGGCGAAGGCGCCUUGCUGGCCGAUUUCUGACGCUGAGGCGCGAAAGCGUGGGGAGCAAACAGG